AGGAGAGAAGGAGUUUGACGGCAGGAAACAGAAGGAGAGACAGACAGGAAGAACCCUGAGACGGGAGCUGGCUGCCUUGGGAAGCUGGGCCGUGUGGGGUGACACGGCAGUGGCAACCAUGUUGUGACCAGGUAGGAGGAAAGGAUGAGGUCUCCUCGGGUCUGGCAAGCCUGUGGACACGACCCCGGCAGCAAACAUUCUCUGGGCUAAUCACUUCUCAUGGAUUAUCUCAAUGAAUCCUCCUCCCAACAACCUGCAAGCUCUGCUUGCUUGUGGAAUUACAAGACUUUAAGAGAAACCUUGAAGAGGAUGCUCUUGCCAGUGUUCUGAAGCAUGCAGCAGCUCCACCUGGCCCUGGCCACCUCUGACCACUCACCCCCAGUGAGGCCGGCCAUGUACUGACCCAAGCAUGGGCGCUUGCUCUGGCCCCUGCCUUCCGGCAUGUCAUUCCCCAUACCCGAACACUUACCUCAAUCCUGGCCUCCCGUCUACAUGCUGAUCAUCCUGACACGAGGACCUCUGUUUAAGGUGUCCACCCUCAUGGAGUUUUGUCUGACCCCAGCAGCUCUCUUGACCUUUUCCUUCUUGAAUUUAUUGGCGCCCUACUGUUUUGAGUUCUGAAUAUGUCGUCUUACAGUAUUGGCCUUCUUGCUUUACUUAGGUAAGUCCUGUCUACUGAGAAUGAGGGAAGAGAGAUGCUUUAGAGAGCAGCUCAUGAGACCAUGUGAACAUUACAGUGGAGAAGCCGGGAGCACUACCCGAGUCCCAUCAUUAGGGUCAACAUCAGCAGGCGGGGUCACCUGGGUAGUGUGUGUCCUUGAUGUGACAAGGACAGCUCUUUGGCUCUGUGGUCUUCCUCCCCCAAACACCUAACAGUCCAGUCAUGAGGAAAGGAUCAGGCAAAUCCAAAUUGAGGGAUAUUACACAAAAUACCUGACUUGUGACCCCAAACUGUCAAGGUCAUCCAGAACAAGGAAGGUGUGAGAAAUAGUCACAGCCAAGAAGAGUCUCAGGAGACACGUGGCUUACCAUAAUAUGGGCUCCUGGAUGGGAUCCGAGGCCAUUAGGUGAAAGCCAAUACAAUCUGAAUCCAGUAGGGACUUUGGUUAAUAAUAAUGUAUCAAUGUUGGUUCAUUAGUUAUGACUAAUGUACUGUAAAACUUAAUAAUAGAGGAAACUGGAUGUAGGGUAAAUGGGAACAUCUUUCUGACAUUUCUUUAAAACUGUUCCAAAGUAAAACGAAAAAGUUUAUUUUUUAAAAAAGCACAGUAAAAGGCUAUGGAAGAAGAAAACAAUUGUUAGCAUGGACUUAAUAGAAGUUGCACCAAAAGAAAUAUCUGUGGUAAAGAAAGAAAGAAGAUAAGCUCCAUCUCACCACACAGAGUGUCCUAGGUGUGAGCUUCUGUCCUGGGCACGUUAAGACACCUGGUCAUACUGAGCCCUCCAACACCCUCCGAAGCAGACAUCAAGAGGUUCUUUUAUCAUUUCCUUUUCCUUCUUUCUUUUCUUUUCU